CCAAAGACUUUGCCAUGGAGGACUGAGCCUUGCUUUUUCUCCCAGCCACCUCCCAAGGCAGCCUGGCCUGUUUGGGAGAGGAAUAGGGAGGUCAGAGGAGAAAAAGAGACCCCUUGUGCAAGAAGUGGACUAUCUCUCUUUUCCCUCAUGGUUCUUGGGGAGGGAGAAUGACUUCAGUCUCCAUUAGAGGAGAUUCUUCUGGCAAUUUAUGAAGUGAUCUCCUCAAUCACAGAUACAGCAUGCUUAUUGAUAGGCUUUUAAGCCUAAAAAGCAUGUGGUAACAAGCACUUGUAUUUCCAUUUCUUUUGUUUCAUGGGGGAAAAAAGAUGGAUAAAAUGUCAGUUUAUGGUGGGUCCAUGAACAAACUAAACACCUCACACCUUAUCUAAGUCUGCAGCUUGGAAAAUGGUACAAGAGUUCAGUUCCACUCCAGAAGUUUCCACUAUGACUUAACCUCUCCAGAGCCUUAAUUUCUGUGUCUGAAUUCCCUCCAUUGCUAGAUGCCUGUAGGCUAUGAUACUUGUUCCUCAUUGUUUUCUAAAUAAACCUCAUUACUUGUAAUUAAUGGGUGGAGAUGAGGAAGUAGUUUAAAUAGCCUAGUUCCUACAACUUCUAUUGGAUGCUAAAGUUUAUGAACACAUGGAAAUGGACUUUAUAUAGUUAUAUAGCAUACCUAAGAAUUUCAAAAUACUACAUUUAGGAGAAAAAAUCUGAAAAACUGUGAAGUAGCAUGGAUUUUAAAAAUUCUUAUUACUAUUAAAACUGAACCAAGAAAAUGUCUUAUUAUGUUCCAUAAUAUUGGAGUAAUUAUGAAACAGGCUGAUAGAGAAGGUUUCUGGACCUAAACCCAGGCCUUAUUCAUUACCAUGGGUACAUUAUUUAAGCUCACUAAAAUAAGGAAAAUACAUUCCCAGCUAGAAAAGUGUAGUCAAUUUAAACAUGUGGAGGGAUUAAAUGACUUGGCUUAUUGACACCUAGUGAAAGUUCCUUUCUUUUCUUUCUUUCUUUCUUUCUUUAUUUAUUUAUUUUU
rnacentral:lncRNA from 1 species